CCGCCACUGAUUGCUGUGCUGCCGAGUGGGUGCGGCUUACAGUGGGUGGUGGCAGCCGCCCCAGGCUCGCACCCUCCCACCUGCUCGCCACCGUCAUCUUCAUGAUGAUCCCGAGGGCACCUGCUGAGCCUGAGUCACUCCCCUGCCUGCCUGCGCCUGCACCGUGGGAGAGAAAGGCAAGGCGCAAAGAAGCAGCAGAGAAGGUGGGAAGCAGCCAAGGCGGAGGCGCCAGCGGGAACAUUUUACUACUACUUCUUCUUUAAGCACUCACUUUAUAAGUAAAGUUAAGAGGGGGCCGGGGGAAGGAGGAGUGGAGAAAACAAUUAAAAAAAAAAAAUCAGCCAGAAGAAUUGUUUUCCAGUCCCUUGAGAGAAUUGCUGCUUGCCUGUGCCUGCUGUGUCUGUCUAUGCCAGCCAUCAGUGCCACCAACCCUAGACUGACACCAUCAAAUGUGCAUGGCACUUUACCGAGGAAAGCAAGAGAGGGGUCCCCAUCAAGAAGCGCUGAGAAGCUAAACACAGCAAAGAGACAAGAAGAGGAAGGGAAGAGAAAUCUAGGAAUAGACAGGGAGCUACAUGCCUACUGAUGAGGACAGCGCCUGAUAGGAAACACCUCUAAUUUCCUGAGCAUCAAGCAGCUACCAGAUUCCUCUGUGGUACAGGCCGCUACAGGAGGACCAAGUGAUGUCCUUGGCUGAGAUAAAGGCUGCUCUAGGCUUCUGAAACAGCGGCACAGAAAUUCUUUGAGCCUACUCCUAUGAGAGCCCUUCUCAAAAAUCUUGGCGUAAUGUAAAGAUAGGAGAUAUUCUGGAUUAGAUUUUGCAGCCUGUGUUGUGCUCUAUCCUUCUCCGAAUGAAAGGGAAUUGGUAAGCAGAGAGGUGCCCUUUGCCUUUGGAGCUGCACAUCUGGAAGUCUCCAAAUAUCCCAGCACCAAGGUUUCGAUAGCACAGGGGCAUAACCCAAAGGACUCUGGCAUCAUCAGCUGCUUACCCCUUUCAACCAACAGUAGGGUUAAUAAUCUAGAGGGGGCUGCCGAGUGCACACAGCUGCUGGAAUCAGGAAUCCAAUAUCCAGAGAGGAAAAAGAUCAGCUUGUUCAGGGAGCAACAAGGUCACCGACGAUAUUGACUAAUGGUAGAGGCAGAAGGGGUAGUUACACCUCCAGUGUUCUAGCAUUGACCAUGGAAUGAAGCUUCUCCAGCAGAAUUAAUGGACUUUCUGUCUCAGGGUUCAUGGGAUCCAAAGAAACCCCUGCUUGAAGCUCUGAAAGAAAAAACCUUCUGAGGAGACAAGGCUGGUCAAGAUAAAGGACCACCUCUUCUGUACUUGAGAUAUCCUAAGCAGUACACGGUCUUUGCCUUUUGGUUGGAAAACUGAUGAGAUUUUCUGCUCCUUUCUUUCCAUCUCUGUACUCAGAUGGGCAUCAACAUCACAAACCUUUUCAGGACACCUCUAGGCCACUGAAAUCCACUCUCCUGUAGCAGCAGCCAACACCAGCCUUUUCACAGCAGAUAAAACCAUGUCCCAUUAAGAUAACAUGUCAUCCUUCCUUUUGUUCUCCCGGGCAUCUGCAAGCAAUUUAGAGACAGGGAUCUCUCUCUUUUAUGUGUAAUUGCUGUUACCUGUAACCUGCCCUUGAGCUCUUGCCACAGCACAGCCUCUGCAUCACAAUAAAAUAAAAUCCCAAGAUUGCACUGCACAGUAUUUUGUAGAAACAUGGAACAAUUAGAUAGUAGUGGAACAUCAAGGUAUGGGCUGCUUGCUCUUGCUUGUGCCAUAGGCCAUGCAAAGCAGCCCUUGGGCCUCAUUCGAAGCCUUUUCAGGCAGGGGCUGAAUGAAUUAUAUACUGGUACAGCGUCCAGCACAACAGUGAUGUGAUUUUCAAGGGGUGCAGAAAAUUAAAGAGAGCAGCAGAGAGGGGAUUGCGCAUAGGCAACCAAGGGAAGGAGUCACACACUUGAUACCAUAACCUCACACAGCUGCUGGCGUGGCUAACCUGAAGCUCAUGGAUCCCACUUGAUUUUUGCCUUGAUACUGAGUGACCUAGUUCUUUGCCUCCCUUCCCCAUGCAAAACUGACAGUGUACCAACAUCAUGACAGGGGUGGGAGGGAGAAAUCCAAAAGUUUCACUAGGGAGAAUCCAGCCCUGACCCUCAGCUCAAAAAAUUGUCCAUCCCUCAUCUAACUAACAGAAUCUCUUAAAUACACUGAGUAGGAUCCAGACUGAGCUGGUAAUUACUAGGUCCUGGUAAUUAUAGUGAGACUUAAGUUAGUCAAGACUAACCUGUCUCAUUUAUUUCAAUAGUGCUUAAUAAUGAUUCACUGGAUCCUGCCUACUGGUCUGGAUCCUGCCCACUAGUAAAAAAUUGGGAACUAUUGUUUUUGCCCUCUGGCGUUUCUUCUCUUUUAUUUAUGGAUCCCUCCUCAAGGUGUCUGUUACCUGCCCAAGAAAUGUAGGAGCCAAAGUAAGUUUGGCCAAUCCAUUAGUUUCUAGAUGCCAUUAAUGGUGUGAGAUUAAUGCAAAACAUAGGCAGGCUCUAGCCAAAGUUAAAUACCCUGGAAGUCCUGCUGAUUUUAAUGGGAGAAUUAAACACAUGCUUAAAAUCUCUCCCAUUGAUAUAAGAGGAUUUGAAAAUGUUCAUUGUUGACCUGGACUGUCCACG